CUACUGUUAUGAAUUGCCACAACUUGGAGGCUUAGAACAACACAAAUUAGUACUCUCACAGUCCUGAAGGCUACAGCUCUGCAAUCAAGAUAUCAGCAAGGCCAUCAUUCCACUAAGGCUCUAAGGAAGAAUCCAUUUUUGCCUCUUCCUGCUUCUGGGAUGCAUCCACUUUAUUAGACGGCAAACUAGAAAAUGCUUCCUACAGUCGCCACAUAAAAAGGGUGGGGCAGUAGGAGACACUGAAUUCACAUAUCAUUGAAAACCAAAAUAUUAGAAGAGCUUAAGUUUUAAAGAAUGCUGGCAAAUGUUUAAGCGAUCAGCACUGCUGGUUUACUAUAAACAUAAUGGACUACACGUUGAGUACCUUGACAUAUGAGUAAAUUCAUAUAGUACAAAUCAUUCAACACACAUAUCUUGAGAACAAGUGAGAAGACAGCCAUCUGCAAACCAGAGAGAAAGUCCUCAUAAGGAACUGAAUCAAACUUCACCUUGAUCUUGGGCUUCCCAGCCUUUGCAACUGUGAGAAAUAAAUGUGUCUUUAUGCCA
rnacentral:lncRNA from 1 species